GGGCGUAAAGAGCUCGUAGGUGGUUUGUCGCGUUGUUCGUGAAAUCUCACGGCUUAACUGUGAGCGUGCGGGCGAUACGGGCAGACUUGAGUACUGCAGGGGAGACUGGAAUUCCUGGUGUAGCGGUGGAAUGCGCAGAUAUCAGGAGGAACACCGGUGGCGAAGGCGGGUCUCUGGGCAGUAACUGACGCUGAGGAGCGAAAGCGUGGGGAGCGAACAGGAUUAGAUACCCUGGUAGUCCACGCCGUAAACGGUGGGUACUAGGUGUGGGUUUCCUUCCCUGGGAUCCGUGCCGUAGCUAACGCAUUAAGUACCCCGCCUGGGGAGUACGGCCGCAAGGCUAAAACUCAAAGAAAUUGACGGGGGCCCGCACAAGCGGCGGAGCAUGUGGAUUAAUUCGAUGCAACGCGAAGAACCUUACCUGGGUUUGACAUGCGCAGGACGCCGGCAGAGAUGUCGGUUCCCUUGUGGCCUGUGUGCAGGUGGUGCAUGGCUGUCGUCAGCUCGUGUCGUGAGAUGUUGGGUUAAGUCCCGCAAGGAGCGCAACCCUUGUCUCAUGUUGCCAGCGGGCAAUGCCGGGGACUCGUGAGAGACUGCCGGGGUCAACUCGGAGGAAGGUGGGGAUGACGUCAAGUCAUCAUGCCCCUUAUGUCCAGGGCUUCACACAUGCUACAAUGGCCGGUACAAAGGGCUGCGAUGCCGCGAGGUUAAGCGAAUCCUUUUAAAGCCGGUCUCAGUUCGGAUCGGGGUCUGCAACUCGACCCCGUGAAGUCGGAGUCGCUAGUAAUCGCAGAUCAGCAACG
rnacentral:rRNA from 1 species